rnacentral:miRNA from 1 species
AGUGGGAUAGCUGGGUCAAAUGGUGGUUCAAGGAAUCUCCAAAUUGCUUUCCAUACUGGCUGCACCAAUUUGCAGUCCCACCAGCAAU